rnacentral:rRNA from 1 species
AUUGAACGCUGGCGGAAUGCUUUACACAUGCCAGUCGAACGGCAGCACGGGGGCAGCCCUGGUGGCGAGUGGCGAACGGGUGAGUAAUACAUCGGAACGUGCCCGGUCGUGGGGGAUAACGUAGCGAAAGUUACGCUAAUACCGCAUACGAUCUGAGGAUGAAAGCGGGGGACCUUCGGGCCUCGCGCGAUCGGAGCGGCCGAUGUCAGAUUAGGUAGUUGGUGGGGUAAAGGCCUACCAAGCCGACGAUCUGUAGCUGGUCUGAGAGGACGACCAGCCACACUGGGACUGAGACACGGCCCAGACUCCUACGGGAGGCAGCAGUGGGGAAUUUUGGACAAUGGGCGCAAGCCUGAUCCAGCCAUUCCGCGUGCAGGACGAAGGCCUUCGGGUUGUAAACUGCCUUUGUACGGAACGAAAAGGCUCUGGCUAAUACCUGGGGCUCAUGACGGUACCGUAAGAAUAAGCACCGGCUAACUACGUG